GGCCCCUAAGAGCCGCAGGGGGGUGGGGAGGUGCCAGGCUGCUGAGGCCUUUGGGUUCCUAGGCUGCUGGCAUUUUAAAACCACCACUGUAUUCCACCUCCCCUUGGAUAACACGCAGAAACAGGCCAAGAAGAAAUUACCUGCUGUUGGUUAUUUCUAUUUCAAAUGAAUACUAGCUGAACAUUUACUAAAUGACAUUGUCAGGUUUCAGCAAAAGCGGCCUGUAAUAGUUGGGUUUUGGCAGAGUUCAAAGACUGGGAAGCAAAGUUCAGCCAUGUUGGGCCUUUGGGCUCAUAGAUGAGCAAGGGUACCCCAAUAUGAGGGCUCAGCAAAUUCUGGAACUUAUCAGUUCUGAAGACCUUUAGAGGAGAAGGAGACAAGUAAAAGGUAUGUAGUCCUGGAGGGCGCUGCUUAAUGAACCAGAAGUCCUGCCUCUUAAGUACCUCACCAGCUCAAAUGUGUGCAUGUCACCUUGGCGUGAAUCGGAGCAGGCGCUGGUGGAUACCGUUUGGAGGCAUGCCAGCAAGGAGCUCCUUGUGUAGCCUGCCUCUGGAGCCUCAAGUUCAACUUCCAUAGGGCCAAAAGGGGAGUCGGGCUGGGCAGAAGCUCCUGAGAACCAAAGCAAAUGGUCUGAGAGUCUGAGAGUGUAGUGGAGGUAACGUGUUCGUGUCCUCUCUGGCUGCAUCACCCCAAGUCCUUGCAGACUCAAGUAGCCUAUUUGCAAGUUUAAAUAGUUUGAGUCCUGGCCGGUAACAAGAAUACUCUACAGUGGCCCAGAGUCAGGGAUAUAGAGUGGCGACUACUUGGCAGAACUGGAGCUUGCUCAGAUGAAAAGAUAAAUUGUACUGGUUAAACGAAGAUCAAGUGCAGGGUCUGGACUUUGUUUCUAUCUUUCAUGUGGACUCUAUAAGCACCUACACACAGCAUUCUAGAAACACUGCUCCCAUCCCUCCUGUCUCAUGUCAUCCUCCCAAUUCCGGGAGUUGGGGGGCAUACUCUUUCCCUGUGUCAUGUGAGAAAUUCCUUUCUCAUGGGAAGCAGGUGGCAUUCCUGGACUCUCCUUGGCCUGGCCGUUGGUAAGCACAGGAAUUCAAGGUGUCUGAAUCUCUUGUCAAAGGUGGGCUGUAAGGCUCCAGAAGAGGAGGACAGAAAGUGCCUGCAGAGCUCCUGCCUGAGGCCUUUGGAUGGGCCCUGCUGGCUUGCCGUGUGUGUGUGUGUGUGUGUGUGUGUGUGUGUGUGUGUGUGGUGUCGUGCUUAUUUGCCCCAAAUGAGGCAAGAGAGCAGUGAUCAGGUGUCUCCCCAGCAUCUAGUUUCAUGAAGACAAUAGAAGUGGGUCGGAUCAGGCCUGCUGCCAUGCUUGGCUUGCCCAUGUCUCCUAGGAUUGGCUGCCUGGUGGCCAUCCCUUUGCCAUCCCCUUGACUGCCCUGUGAAUGAUGUCCACUCUGAGACCCCAGGCCACUCAGAAAAACUGAAGAUUCUCAAGUUCAGGUGCAGUUAGGGGGCAGGUCCUGGUGGUGGGGGAGCUUUGAUGUUCUGCAGUUGGAGGAUCCUCUUUCAGAAUAGUAAUGCAAUUUGUGAAUUAAUAAAAUUAGGUAUGCAAGAGGAUAUGUAGAAAAGAAAAAUCACAAGCUACACAAUUUUUAAGUUGACAAAACUACGAACAUCACAAAAUAAUAUGAUAUUUUAAAUUAAUUAUCUGCCUGGAAUACUCUGUCAUUUUUUUUUGAUCUUUUGCCUGCAUCGUCUUUGAUAGCAGUGUUUUUGAUAUUGCUUUUUAUAGAGAGACUCAAGAUAAUGGAGUCUACUCUGUUGUGGUUAAUUAAACAUUUUUUGGUGU
rnacentral:lncRNA from 1 species